rnacentral:rRNA from 1 species
GAUGAACGCUAGCGGGAGGCUUAACACAUGCAAGUCGAGGGGCAUCACGAGGUAGCAAUACUUUGGUGGCGACCGGCGCACGGGUGAGUAACGCGUAUGCAACCUACCCUGUACAGGGGGAUAGCCCGGAGAAAUUCGGAUUAAUACCCCAUAAUGAUAUUUUAUGGCAUCAUAAAAUAUUUAAAGCUCAGGCGGUACGGGAUGGGCAUGCGUAACAUUAGCUAGUUGGUAGGGUAAUGGCCUACCAAGGCGACGAUGUUUAGGGGUCCUGAGAGGGUGAUCCCCCACACUGGUACUGAGACACGGACCAGACUCCUACGGGAGGCAGCAGUGAGGAAUAUUGGUCAAUGGGCGCGAGCCUGAACCAGCCAUCCCGCGUGAAGGAAGACUGCCCUAUGGGUUGUAAACUUCUUUUCCAGGGGAAUAAAAUCUCGAACGAGUUCGGGACUGAAGGUACCCUGGGAGUAAGCAUCGGCUAACUCCGUGCCAGCCGCCGCCGUAA